GUGAGGAAUAUUGGUCAAUGGGCGGGAGCCUGAACCAGCCAAAUCGCGUGAAGGAUGAAGGUAUUAUGUAUUGUAAACUUCUUUUAUCGGGGAAUAAAGUGCAUCACGUGUGGUGUUUUGUAAGUACCCGAAGAAUAAGGAUCGGCUAACUCCGUGCCAGCAGCCGCGGUAAUACGGAGGAUCCGAGCGUUAUCCGGAUUUAUUGGGUUUAAAGGGUGCGUAGGCGGACUAUCAAGUCAGCGGUGAAAGUUCAUGGCUCAACCAUGGAAUUGCCGUUGAAACUGAUGGUCUUGAGUGUAGAUGAGGUAGGCGGAAUUCGUGGUGUAGCGGUGAAAUGCAUAGAUAUCACGAAGAACACCGAUUGCGUAGGCAGCUUACCAAGCUACAACUGACGCUGAGGCACGAAGGUGCGGGGAUCAAACAGGAUUAGAUACCCUGGUAGUCC
rnacentral:rRNA from 1 species